CUCGGGCAUUUUGCCGACAGUUCCUGCGCGAUUAAUAGCUCGGGAGAGUAGUGAAGUGUUUUUUUCGUAAUAUAAGGUGCAAUUAUUGGAUUUUGUACAUAAGAUAUCGCAGAGGGGCAAAGCAGGAUGAUACCAGAUUCUACAACAGUACUUAAAACUGAUGCACACCAACCUACAAAUAUGACAGCACAUGAGCUGUACAAUGUACUAUCAACAGUUUUCCUCAGGCAAGUUCAAGGAAAUUACAGUGUUUCGGAAGAAAAACCUUUGAAAUCAGAUCGUAAUCUAGGCGAAGAAGAAAUAAAGAGGUUGCUAAUCGAAUAUGCUUAUAGAGGUAGUGAUUUAACAUAUUAUAAAGCGUCAAACUAGUCAAUUCACGAAACAAGAUAUUCUUAGAGGAACCUAGAUGAUUUGAAUUACUCAUCAAUCAGUUUAUUUAUUUA